rnacentral:rRNA from 1 species
UUUUAUUUGAGAGUUUGAUCCUGGCUCAGGAUGAACGCUGGCGGCGUGCCUAACACAUGCAAGUUGAGCGAUUUACUUCGGUAAAGAGCGGCGGACGGGUGAGUAACGCGUGGGUAACCUUCCCUGUACACACGGAUAACAUACCGAAAGGUAUGCUAAUACGGGAUAAUAUAUUUGAGAGGCAUCUCUUGAAUAUCAAAGGUGAGCCAGUACAGGAUGGACCCGCGUCUGAUUAGCUAGUUGGUAAGGUAACGGCUUACCAAGGCGACGAUCAGUAGCCGACCUGAGAGGGUGAUCGGCCACAUUGGAACUGAGACACGGUCCAAACUCCUACGGGAGGCAGCAGUGGGGAAUAUUGCACAAUGGGCGAAAGCCUGAU